GAUGAACGCUGGCGGCGUGCCUAAUACAUGCAAGUCGAGCGAACAGAUGAGGAGCUUGCUCCUCUGACGUUAGCGGCGGACGGGUGAGUAACACGUGGAUAACCUACCUAUAAGACUGGGAUAACUUCGGGAAACCGGAGCUAAUACCGGAUAAUAUAUUGAACCGCAUGGUUCAAUAGUGAAAGACGGUUUUGCUGUCACUUAUAGAUGGAUCCGCGCCGCAUUAGCUAGUUGGUAAGGUAACGGCUUACCAAGGCAACGAUGCGUAGCCGACCUGAGAGGGUGAUCGGCCACACUGGAACUGAGACACGGUCCAGACUCCUACGGGAGGCAGCAGGAGGGAAUCUUCCGCAAUGGGCGAAAGCUUGACGGAGCAACGCCGCGUGAGUGAUGAAGGUCUUCGGAUCGUAAAACUCUGUUAUUAGGGAAGAACAAAUGUGUAAGUAACUAUGCACGUCUUGACGGUACCUAAUCAGAAAGCCACGGCUAACUACGU
rnacentral:rRNA from 1 species